rnacentral:rRNA from 1 species
UACGGAGGAUCCAAGCGUUGUCCGGAUUUAUUGGGUUUAAAGGGUGCGUAGGUGGAUAAUUAAGUCAGGGGUGAAAGCCUGCAGCUCAACUGUAGAACUGCCCUUGAAACUGAUUAUCUUGAGUGCGGUUGAGGUAGGCGGAAUGUGUCAUGUAGCGGUGAAAUGCUUAGAUAUGAUACAGAACACCAAUUGCGAAGGCAGCUUACUAAACCGUAACUGACACUGAGGCACGAAAGCAUGGGGAGCAAACAGG